UACGUAGGGGGCAAGCGUUAUCCGGAAUCAUUGGGCGUAAAGCGCGUGUAGGCGGUUCCGUAAGUCCGCUCUGAAAGCCCAGGGCUCAACCCUGGGAGGCGGGUGGAUACUACGGAACUGGAGUACGGAAGAGGAGAUUGGAAUUCCUGGUGUAGCGGUGAAAUGCGCAGAUAUCAGGAGGAACACCGAUGGCGAAGGCAGCUCGCUGGGACGGUACUGACGCUGAGGCGCGAAAGCGUGGGGAGCAAACAGG
rnacentral:rRNA from 1 species